rnacentral:rRNA from 1 species
GACGUAGGUGGCGAACGUUUAUCCGGAAUUAUUGGGCGUAAAGGGUGCGUAGGCGGCAUAAUAAGUUAUUGGCGGGAAAUCGAGGCUCAACCUCGUGGAAACUGAUAAUACUGUUUUGCUUGAGUACAGGAGAGGUUAACGGAACUCCAUGUGGAGCGGUAAAAUGUGUAGAUAUAUGGAAGAACAUCAAUAACGGCGAAGGCAGUUAGCUAUUCUGUUACUGACGUUGAGGCACGAAAGCGUGGGGAGCAAAAAGG